rnacentral:rRNA from 1 species
AGACCUUCGGGUCUAGUGGCGCACGGGUGCGUAACGCGUGGGAAUCUACCCCUUGGUUCGGAAUAACUCAGAGAAAUUUGAGCUAAUACCGGAUGAUGACGUAAGUCCAAAGAUUUAUCGCCUAGGGAUGAGCCCGCGUAGGAUUAGCUAGUUGGUGAGGUAAAGGCUCACCAAGGCGACGAUCCUUAGCUGGUCUGAGAGGAUGAUCAGCCACACUGGGACUGAGACACGGCCCAGACUCCUACGGGAGGCAGCAGUGGGGAAUAUUGGACAAUGGGCGAAAGCCUGAUCCAGCAAUGCCGCGUGAGUGAUGAAGGCCUUAGGGUUGUAAAGCUCUUUUACCCGGGAUGAUAAUGACAGUACCGGGAGAAUAAGCUCCGGCUAACUCCGUGCCAGCAGCCGCGGUAAUACGGAGGGAGCUAGCGUUGUUCGGAAUUACUGGGCGUAAAGCGUACGUAGGCGGCUUUGUAAGUAAGAGGUGAAAGCCUGGAGCUCAACUCCAGAACUGCCUUUUAGACUGCAUCGCUUGAAUCCAGGAGAGGUGAGUGGAAUUUCCAGUGUAGAGGUGAAAUUCGUAGAUAUUCGGAAGAACACCCAGUGGCGAAGGCGGCUCACUGGACUGGUAUUGACGCUGAGGUACGAAAGCGUGGGGAGCAAACAGGAUUAGAUACCCCUGGUAGUCCCACGC